rnacentral:lncRNA from 1 species
UUUCUACAGUUUUGGAGUAUAAGGAUUAGAGAAGCAGAAUGGUAAACAAGCAGAGCAAUACAUCAAAAUGUUUUAUAAGAUGGAGAUUACCUGUACCUACUGAAGGCAGCUGGGAAAGAUCAAGGCUAGAGAUAGAAAAAUAAGAGCGGCAGAGGGCAGGUGUACAAACUGUCUUGAAAGAGCAAACAGGUACUUACUUUCUAAGAAGAAAGUAUAUGAGACUGUACAACUGAGAGGACCGAUGGUGAAUUAUGGUGAAUUAUGCUCUAUGAAUAGGGAAGAAUUGGCUAGAUAAGGUCGUGAGGACAAAAGAAUGUGCUAACUGUUCCAAAGUUAAAUGACCUAGUUGAAGACAGAGGAUUUGUAGACAGUAAGAAUUACAGGAUUUUAUUUCCUUCUAUGUGAUGUAAGGGACAGAUACUC